rnacentral:rRNA from 1 species
GACGAACGCUGACGGUGUGCUUUAGACAUGCAAGUCGAGCGAGAAAGCCCUUCGGGGUUAGUAAAGCGGCGAACGGGUGAGUAACACGUGGGCAAUCUGCCCCUCGCAGGGGGACGAACCGGGGGAAACGUCCGGCUAAUACCCCGUAACGUUUCCAAAGUCGCAUGGCAUUGGAAAGAAAGGUAGCUUCGGCCAUCCGGCGAGGGAUGAGCCCGCGGUACAUUAGCUAGUUGGUGGGGUAACGC